rnacentral:rRNA from 1 species
GACGAACGCUGGCGGCGUGCUUAACACAUGCAAGUCGAACGGAAAGGCCCUGCUUUUGUGGGGUGCUCGAGUGGCGAACGGGUGAGUAACACGUGAGUAACCUGCCCUUGACUUUGGGAUAACUUCAGGAAACUGGGGCUAAUACCGGAUAGGAGCUCCUGCUGCAUGGUGGGGGUUGGAAAGUUUCGGCGGUUGGGGAUGGACUCGCGGCUUAUCAGCUUGUUGGUGGGGGAGUGGCUUACCAAGGCUUUGACGGGUAGCCGGCCUGAGAGGGUGACCGGCCACAUUGGGACUGAGAUACGGCCCAGACUCCUACGGGGGGCAGCAGUGGGGAAUAUUGCACAAUGGGCGGAAGCCUGAUGCAGCAACGCCGCGUGCGGGAUGACGGCCUUCGGGUUGUAAACCGCUUUCGCCUGUGACGAAGCGUGAGUGACGGUAAUGGGUAAAGAAGCACCGGCUAACUACGUG